UGAAGAUGUGCAAGAAAGAAUAGAGAUGGUUACAUAGCAAGAUUUGCAAGAACUUGUGCAUGAAGCUAUUCGUGUGGAGCAGAAGCUGAAGCGUCGCCAAAAUCACAGCCAAACUUACACAUCAAGCACUUGGAGACGUUCAGUUCAGUGAGAAGUAGAUGGAAGCAUUGCUGUGGAUUUCCCCUCAGAAAACCAAAUGACUACAAAGGAAGCAAAUGCAUCAAAGGUUGAAUCUUCAAAUACUCCUGCCACUCGCAUUAUGUGGCACCCCGGCUCAGAGAAACCGGAAUGCCCCGUAUUCCAGCCCAGAGAUCUAAGUGAAGUCUUCUGGAAUACGACACUACUUAGCAUAGAACAAAUCAGCUCUCUAUUACAACACGAAUACAAAUACAAGGUUCCCGAAUUACAAUGAAUAACAUCGGCACGACGACACUACGCCAACCAUAGUUGCACUAUGCAAGCAGCAUAACAACUCGAGGCAGCGGAACCUCUACUCGCGGCGGAACAAUGAACCACGAUGAUGGACUCCAAUCCGCGGGGACUCUGGCUGGAACGUUUAUCCUAGCUCGCGAACACAGGAACCACACCAAAACAAGCAAGCAAUCUGGCACGACCUGCAAACUGGCAUGACACGCCAGGUCAGUACAUUGAAUGUACUUGCAAGCUCACAAUAACCUAAAGCAGUCAAGACAAACAACAACAUGGCAUUAGCAGGUUAAAACAAUCAUGAACAUGAUACUAACAGAACAACGUGGCAUGCACAAACUAAACAUGAUACAACUUUAGCAUAGCAUGAGCAUAUGAACAUGAUAAUACUACAUGCAACAGGUUAACAUGAUCAUGUACCAACUUACUCUUAUUCGGCGGUUACCUCGUAACCAUCUCAUGCAUCAACUUACCAACAUCGGUAUCCACGAUACCUCCGUGAUCAUCUCUCGCGAUCACAACCAAUCUCUUUCUUAUCAUCGAACCGGGGUUGUUAUUAAUCAAGUUAUUAUUAUUGUUGGCUCAUAGUUUGACCGACUAUGAACUGGGCCCAUAUCUGCGGGCGCGGCUAUCGAUAUAUUUAAAACGCACUCUACAGAUGUCGCGCACUUUACACACACCACGGAACCCAUGGCCUCGCACUCCCAUACGUGUGGACCAACGGCAUUCUGACAAAACCGAUCUACCGCCAUGACACUCUCCCGGCCACUCCGACCAACUCCCCUUUGGGCUAAGUCAUGGGUGGCCCCGUGCCUACCAAAGGCAUCAGCGGCCACCGUCGUGGCAAAACGGUCCCAAACGGGGAUAAGGUACCAUAACAACAACAACGGGCACACAAGGCUUAUGUCCGCCUACCGGACCAGGGUAGCGCGCGCCCAUAACCUUCCCUCAUUGGAGGCACUGAUGAGAGGCAUGACAAUAGACCCAGUUAGGUCCUUCCCAUAAAGGCAAAUGUGGUUGCACUGGUCAGCUCGAUUCAGUGGCACCAUGACUCAGCCAACAAUUGUUCAAGUUCAUUAUUAUCCAGUUAAACUUGAAUGCAAUAAGCUGAGUCAUAGUAAAAUAACAUGAUGCCACUAUAAUGCAUGAGCAUGAUAUCAACGUAAGCACGAAGGUGCAUCACAAUCAUCGAGCAUAACCACAAUGAAACAUUUAACCAAAUGAGCAUGGCAUACUGACGAGCAUAAGUAUAACACUACACAGGAGCAUGGCAUGACUACUAGCAUCAUGAAUAAAUAUCAUGCAAGAACAUAGUAGGAACACUACCAAGUAAGCAUGUAACCAACUGGGUGCAAAGUAGCAUGCAUAGCAAUGGUACUGAAUAACAGACUAAGCAUGCAUCCGAAGACCACCACUACUACCAGCAUGUAUUACUACUAACAAGCAUGACAUGUGAAAAUGGUACUAGCAAGUAGCACAAGAUAACACAAUGCAUCGGAACAUAGCAAGAAAGUGAACAUGCAUCCACGAGCAAAACCGAAACGACGACAGUAGUAGCAAACAAGCAGGGAGAUAAUGAGCAAACUUUUAUUAAAUAUUCAAGUAGAAACCAUGGCUACUGCAUGGCUAUCAUGCAAGUGGCUGUUGUGGCUUGCCUGGGGGUGACGGAGACUUCGAGAAGAAGUGCGGUGAAGCCGCGGAAACGAAACGCCAGACGGUUCUCUCUUGGAGGGGGGGCUGAUUAGAGGCAAGGGCAAAAUGGUCAUUUUCACUGUGGGACCACCUAGUGAAAAUGUUUCCGACAGAAAUAGCUCGACGAGACGAAGAAGUGAGCGUUGGUUUCACCUCAAUUGGAGUUACGGUCGUCGAGAUACGAAGGGUGGAAGUCUAGGGACUAAUAUGUGAAUAUUUUCAUCACCAACAAGUCCCUGGGAGGAAAGAGAGAACGCGCCUUCGAGCGUAAUACGUUUUCUGGAAAGGAAAGCGUACUUUAAACCGCAAUAGACACAGAAUACGCUUUAUGACUAAGAAAACGUAUUUCUGAAAACCGUCUCCGCUUAAACACGUGGACCAGGGGGUGAGGGGCUUACAGGGGGUCCCACGAGCUGGGAGAGGGGCCAGGCUCGGUCGUCUCCUUCCUCCCGCUCGCCUCUUCUCCCGUGAGACAGAGCAGAGGCAGGGGAGGGAAACGGCCAAGGGGGCCGGCCGGCUCAGGCGGCCUCCGGCCAAGCCGAGCCCACCGGCGGGUGAGGGGCGACGAGUCGCAUCCUUUCAGGGGAGAAAUCAGCUCCGGGGAAGGGUGGAGAGGAGGGGAGAGGCGGCGCCCGAGGAGUCCAGGGGCGGCGGGUGGUGGUGGUGCUCGACGAAGCAGGGCGCUCCGGCGAGGGAUGAUGGGGUGGGGCAGCUCUACGGGAGGUGGGGAGCACUCUGGUGAUGUCUGGGAGGCACGAGGAGGCUCGGGACGACCGGAUGGUGAGGUGCCCGAACGGUGAAGGCGGCGCCGGACUAGGGACUCGCGGCCAGAGGGGCUACGGCGACGAACUGGAGAGGUGGGCUGGCUCGCGAAGACUAGGGGGACUCGGUGGACAGCUUGGAACGGCGAGGGGGGGCUUUGUUUGGCCGGAAUCAAGCCGAGGCCGAGGCGGCCAUGGCGAUCUCCGGCGAAAAGAAGAGGGGGCCGAGGACUCCGGUGGGCUUGGAGCGAGGGUAAGAGGUG
rnacentral:lncRNA from 1 species